AGAGUUUGAUCCUGGCUCAGGAUGAACGCUAGCUACAGGCUUAACACAUGCAAGUCGAGGGGCAGCAUCAUCAAAGCUUGCUUUGAUGGAUGGCGACCGGCGCACGGGUGAGUAACACGUAUCCAACCUGCCGACAACACUGGGAUAGCCUUUCGAAAGAAAGAUUAAUACCGGAUGGCAUAAUUAUUCCGCAUGGGAUAAUUAUUAAAGAAUUUCGGUUGUCGAUGGGGAUGCGUUCCAUUAGGCAGUUGGCGGGGUAACGGCCCACCAAACCUACGAUGGAUAGGGGUUCUGAGAGGAAGGUCCCCCACAUUGGAACUGAGACACGGUCCAAACUCCUACGGGAGGCAGCAGUGAGGAAUAUUGGUCAAUGGACGAGAGUCUGAACCAGCCAAGUAGCGUGAAGGAUGACUGCCCUAUGGGUUGUAAACUUCUUUUAUACGGGAAUAAAGUGAGGCACGUGUGCCUUUUUGUAUGUACCGUAUGAAUAAGGAUCGGCUAACUCCGUGCCAGCAGCCGCGGUAAUACGGAGGAUCCGAGCGUUAUCCGGAUUUAUUGGGUUUAAAGGGAGCGUAGGCGGGUUGUUAAGUCAGUUGUGAAAGUUUGCGGCUCAACCGUAAAAUUGCAGUUGAUACUGGCGACCUUGAGUGCAACAGAGGUAGGCGGAAUUCGUGGUGUAGCGGUGAAAUGCUUAGAUAUCACGAAGAACUCCGAUUGCGAAGGCAGCUUACUGGAUUGUAACUGACGCUGAUGCUCGAAAGUGUGGGUAUCAAACAGGAUUAGAUACCCUGGUAGUCCACACAGUAAACGAUGAAUACUCGCUGUUUGCGAUAUACAGUAAGCGGCCAAGCGAAAGCGUUAAGUAUUCCACCUGGGGAGUACGCCGGCAACGGUGAAACUCAAAGGAAUUGACGGGGGCCCGCACAAGCGGAGGAACAUGUGGUUUAAUUCGAUGAUACGCGAGGA
rnacentral:rRNA from 1 species